UUUCUACACCUACCUGGAGGAGCUUGCUAUCUAACCGAUAACCCACGUAACACCUCACCAAUUUUUGACCAUCAGCCUGUAUACCAUCGUCGUCAGUCUACCUUUCAAAAGAAGUAUACACAAUGACCCCCAUCCUUACGCCAGAUCAAGGUGCAGCUUAUAAAUUGGGGAUAAGUGAGCUACAAUAAUCAAACAGAAAAUUUAACUAUGAAAAAAUGACUGAAAAACCAUUUUGAAAUAGAAUUCAGUAGUAACGGCUAAUUUAACAGAAAAUAACCGUGAAAUAUCUAGCCCUAGAAUACGC
rnacentral:rRNA from 1 species